GACGAACGCUGGCGGCGUGCCUAAUACAUGCAAGUAGAACGCUGAAGGAGGAGCUUGCUUCUCUGGAUGAGUUGCGAACGGGUGAGUAACGCGUAGGUAACCUGCCUGGUAGCGGGGGAUAACUAUUGGAAACGAUAGCUAAUACCGCAUAAGAGUAGAUGUUGCAUGACAUUUGCUUAAAAGGUGCAAUUGCAUCACUACCAGAUGGACCUGCGUUGUAUUAGCUAGUUGGUGGGGUAACGGCUCACCAAGGCGACGAUACAUAGCCGACCUGAGAGGGGGGUCGGCCACACUGGGACUGGGACAGGGCCCAGACUCCUACGGGAGGCAGCAGUAGGGAAUCUUCGGCAAUGGACGGAAGUCUGACCGAGCAACGCCGCGUGAGUGAAGAAGGUUUUCGGAUCGUAAAGCUCUGUUGUAAGAGAAGAACGAGUGUGAGAGUGGAAAGUUCACACUGUGACGGUAUCUUACCAGAAAGGGACGGCUAACUACGUG
rnacentral:rRNA from 1 species